rnacentral:rRNA from 1 species
GACGAACGCUGGCGGCGUGCUUAACACAUGCAAGUCGAACGGAAAGGCCCUGCUCUUGUGGGGUGGUCGAGUGGCGAACGGGUGAGUAACACGUGAGGAAACUGCCCUUGACUUUGGGAUAACUUCAGGAAACUGGGGCGAAUACAGGAUAGGAGCUCCUGCUGCAUGGUGGGGGUUGGAAAGUUUCGGCGGUUGGGGCUGGACUCGCGGGUGAUCAGCUUGUUGGUGGGGUAGUGGCGGACGAAGGCUUUGACGGGUAGCCGGCCUGAGAGGGUGACCGGCCACAUUGGGACUGAGACACGGCCCAGAAUCCUACGGGAGGGAGCAGUGGGGAAUAUUGCACAGUGGGCGGAAGCCUGAUGCAGCAACGCCGCGUGCGGGAUGACGGCCUUCGGGUUGUAAACCGCUUUCGCCUGUGACGAAGCGGGAGUGACGGUAAUGGGUAAAGAAGCACCGGCUAACUACGUG